GUGCCAGUGGUGUAGUGGUAUCAUGCGAGAUUCCCACUCUGGUGAACUGGGCUUGAUUCCCAGGUGGCGCA